GGGGUUAUAGUUUAAUUUGGUAUAGCGCUUGGUUGUCAUCCAAGUGAUAUGGGUUCAAGUCCCGUUAAUCCCG
rnacentral:tRNA from 1 species